rnacentral:rRNA from 1 species
CAAUAGCGUAUAUUAAAGUUGUUGCGGUUAAAAAGCUCGUAGUUGGAUUUCUGUUGAGGACGGCCGGUCCGCACUAUGUGCGUGUAUCUGGUUCGGCCUCGGCAUCCUCUCGAAAGCCGUUUCUGCGCUUGAUUGCGUGGUUCGGACUUCGGGACUUUUACUUUGAGGAAAUUAGAGUGUUCACGGCAGGCAAGCGCCUUGAAUAUAUUAGCAUGGAAUAAUAAUAUAGGAUCUUGGUCCUAUUUUGUUGGUUUCUAGGGCUAAGAUAAUGAUUAAUAGGGACAAUUGGGGGCAUUCGUAUUAACGCGUCAGAGGUGGAAUUCUUGGAUUGCGUUACGACGAACUACUGCGAAAGCAUUUGCCAAGGAUGUUUUCAUUGG